rnacentral:rRNA from 1 species
GAGUCUGCUGCCCACCUGCUAUUUCAGUGUAGAUUCACGAAUAGAGUUUGGAAUGAGAUUACCAUUUGGCUGGGAAUCCACGACUGCUCACCGAUGAUUUGACGAAAUGAAGUUUCGGUUCGAACUUGGUGGCAAAAGGCGGUGAGCAACACGGAUCAUAACAGAAAGGCUCUUGGCCCCAUUAUGAUGCUUGUCUCAUGGGAGAUAUGAAAAGAACGAAAUGCCAGAAUUUUUCGCAACGCCGCGACUCCAACCACACUUAUCGUCACGAGAAUUAAAGAGGAGGCCCGCCUGUGGACUUUGGCUGGGGCCAAGCAUUUGAGUAGGCUCAUGUUGCGAGAGUAG